UUCACACACUAACCCAUUCACACACUAACUCGCCCACUCGUUCACAAAGUAACUCACCCACUCAUUCACACAUUAACUCAUUCACACACUAACCCACCCACUCAUUCACACACUAACUCAUUCACACACUAACCCACCGGCUCAUUCACAAACCCACUCAUUCACACACUAACCCACUCAUUCACACACUCACCCACUCAUUCACACACUCACCCAGUUGUUCACACACACUCAUUCACAAACUCACCCACUCAUUGACACACUAACUCACCCACUCAUUCACACACUAACCCACCCACUCACACACAUUCAUACACUAACCCACUGACUCAUUCACACACUAACCCAUUCAUUCACACACUAACCCACUCGUUCACACACCCAUACACACACUAACCCACUCACACACCCAUUCACACACUAACCCACUCAUUCACACACUAACUCGCCCACUCACACAC
rnacentral:lncRNA from 1 species